GAUGAACGCUAGCGGCAGGCUUAACACAUGCAAGUCGAGCGGGGAGGUUGCUUCGGUAACUGACCUAGCGGCGGACGGGUGAGUAAUGCUUAGGAAUAUGCCUAUUAGUGGGGGACAACAUUCCGAAAGGGAUGCUAAUACCGCAUACGCCCUACGGGGGAAAGCAGGGGAUCUUCGGACCUUGCGCUAAUAGAUGAGCCUAAGUCGGAUUAGCUAGUUGGUGGGGUAAAGGCCUACCAAGGCGACGAUCUGUAGCGGGUCUGAGAGGAUGAUCCGCCACACUGGGACUGAGACACGGCCCAGACUCCUACGGGAGGCAGCAGUGGGGAAUAUUGGACAAUGGGCGGAAGCCUGAUCCAGCCAUGCCGCGUGUGUGAAGAAGGCCUUUUGGUUGUAAAGCACUUUAAGCGAGGAGGAGGCUCUUAAGGUUAAUACCCUUGAUGAGUGGACGUUACUCGCAGAAUAAGCACCGGCUAACUCUGUGCCAGCCGCCGCCGUAAAAC
rnacentral:rRNA from 1 species